rnacentral:rRNA from 1 species
AGUGAACGCUGGCGGUAGGCCUAACACAUGCAAGUCGAACGGCAGCACAGUAAGAGCUUGCUCUUACGGGUGGCGAGUGGCGGACGGGUGAGGAAUACAUCGGAAUCUACUUUUUCGUGGGGGAUAACGUAGGGAAACUUACGCUAAUACCGCAUACGACCUACGGGUGAAAGCAGGGGAUCUUCGGACCUUGCGCGAUUGAAUGAGCCGAUGUCGGAUUAGAUAGUUGGCGGGGUAAAGGCCCACCAAGGCGACGAUCCGUAGCUGGUCUGAGAGGAUGAUCAGCCAAACUGGAACUGGGACACGGUCCAGACUCAUACAGGAGGCAGCAGUGGGGAAUGUUGGAGAAUGGGCGCGAGCCUGAUCCAGCCAUACCGAGUGGGUGAAGAAGGCCUUCGGGUUGUAAAGCCCUUUUGUUGGGAAAGAAAAGCAGCAGGUUAAUACCCCGCUGUUCUGACGGUACCCAAAGAAUAAGCACCGGCUAACUUCGUG